rnacentral:rRNA from 1 species
CGUCGAGCUACUACGGUAGUGAAGUCAUUGAUGCCAUGCUUCCAGGAAAAGCCUCUAAGCUUCAGAUUGUAAGGAAUCGUACCCCAAACCGACACAGGUGGUCGGGUAGAGAAUACCAAGGCGCUUGAGAGAACUCGGGUGAAGGAACUAGGCAAAAUGGUACCGUAACUUCGGGAGAAGGUACGCUCUUGAUGGUGAAGUCCCUUGCGGAUGGAGCUGACGAGAGUCGCAGAUACCAGGUGGCUGCAACUGUUUAUUAAAAACACAGCACUGUGCAAAAUCGUAAGAUGACGUAUACGGUGUGACGCCUGCCCGGUGCCGGAAGGUUAAUUGAUGGGGUUAGCGUAAGCGAAGCUCUUGAUCGAAGCCCCGGUAAACGGCGGCCGUAACUAUAACGGUCCUAAGGUAGCGAAAUUCCUUGUCGGGUAAGUUCCGACCUGCACGAAUGGCGUAAUGAUGGCCACGCUGUCUCCACCCGAGACUCAGUGAAAUUGAAAUCGCUGUGAAGAUGCAGUGUACCCGCGGCUAGACGGAAAGACCCCGUGAACCUUUACUACAGCUUGGCACUGAACAUUGAACCUACAUGUGUAGGAUAGGUGGGAGGCUUUGAAGACGUGACGCCAGUUGCGUUGGAGCCGUCCUUGAAAUACCACCCUUGUAUGUUUGAUGUUCUAACGUUGGCCCCUAAUCGGGGUUGCGGACAGUGCCUGGUGGGUAGUUUGACUGGGGCGGUCUCCUCCCAAAGAGUAACGGAGGAGCACGAAGGUGGGCUAAUCACGGUUGGACAUCGUGAGGUUAGUGCAAUGGCAUAAGCCCGCUUAACUGCGAGAAUGACGGUUCGAGCAGGUGCGAAAGCAGGUCAUAGUGAUCCGGUGGUUCUGAAUGGAAGGGCCAUCGCUCAACGGAUAAAAGGUACUCCGGGGAUAACAGGCUGAUACCGCCCAAGAGUUCAUAUCGACGGCGGUGUUUGGCACCUCGAUGUCGGCUCAUCACAUCCUGGGGCUGAAGUCGGUCCCAAGGGUAUGGCUGUUCGCCAUUUAAAGUGGUACGCGAGCUGGGUUUAGAACGUCGUGAGACAGUUCGGUCCCUAUCUGCCGUGGGCGUUGGAAGAUUGAAGGGGGCUGCUCCUAGUACGAGAGGACCGGAGUGGACGAACCUCUGGUGUUCGGGUUGUGUCGCCAGACGCAUUGCCCGGUAGCUAAGUUCGGAAUCGAUAACCGCUGAAAGCAUCUAAGCGGGAAGCGAGCCCUGA